CAACUUGUUAUUGUAAUGUCUUUGCUGGAACUUUCUAUCUACUGGUUCGAAUUGCGGGUUUUCACGAUGUGCCUUUUGCUUUCACCUUGUCAUUAUAGUCCCGGAUAUUGUCGUCCCUUCUUGUACAACGAUUUCAUUUGGUCCGGACGACUCGAACCUUCUUGAAUCUCAGAAUUGUUACGAACUGCUUUUAAUUUUAUUUGUGGCAGUGCCGGUAGCUCAUGCUUUUCCCAAGGCGGAGUUUCCCCUUGCCAAAAAAGCACGCAACAUAUUAUCGAUAACUAUUGACGUCUCACAAUUCUACACAACUCGAUCUCUAAUAAGCAUUAAUUUUACAUAAACGACGAAAACUAAUUUCUGGGCAUAUGUUCCGACCAUGCGCACCCACCCAACCUAGGAUGCCAGACAACUGAAGGCUCCAUCUCCCCUACAAUGAACACUCACUCAAACAUUCUGCAGCAAUCACCCUUAUUCGUCGACUGCUUCUGGGAAGUUCAAAGCCACAAGUCUAGGAAGCAAUUGGUGGUGCUUUGGAAGACGGCACUACAACGUAUUUACAUACAUACAUAUAGCGUCACCUAAUCUUGUGGAGCUCCAAGGGAUAAGACUGGUCGUGCGAACCAAACCGGCCAUUGAUAUGGACGACGACUACAAUUUGGCCUCGCGUUUGACAUUGGAUUGAUUAACAAAGAUCGAGUUUAAAAAAGUGGUAAUUAAUAAAAAAUUGAGUUUUAAAUUUCAGCGCCAGGAAUAGAAGUAGCAGUUUACGAGUGUUAACGGCAAACGGUCGACGCCUCACGGAAUACUAUCUCAGGAUUGUACUGGAGUCAAAGGAGGCUGCACCGGAAGACUCCCAAUCCAACGAACGUGGUUUU